UUGACCAAACCAAUCAUAUUUGUUAAAAUGGUUUUCUUGGGAGCAGAAGUGAAACCGGGAGAGACAUUUAUGUAUGCUCCUGAUAAGAAACGAAGAAGACUCAAUAUUUCGCAGGCAACAUUACUAGGGAAUUCGCAGGUAACGUCAAGUAAUGAUCGUGCAGCGUCAGAUAGAGUGGUGGUUCGAUGUGAGAUUCGACGAAACGCCAUUUUAUGUUUUCUUUUCAGUUGUUGGUAACCGAAGCGUUCACCUCAUUGGUUACUAUCUAUCGUCGACGUCGACGUCGAGUCAAGACAAAAUUCCCGUUUCUUCCCCCGAUAAAUCUCCUGCAGAACAAAUGGUGAAGUUUGAUGGCACAGAAUGCUAUGGGUCUUUGCAAGAUGAGCAAAAGUUCUGAACUUUUCAGAUGGUAGUUUCUGCAGAUCCUUAUACGUAUUUGAAGUUAGAAGUUUUAGCCCAUGCAUGUCCCUUAAUCGUGACGUACAAGAUAAUUGGAUAAUAAAAUAGUAUGGAAAUUAUAGAAGAGUCCAGCGAUUGUUUCUAUAAGAUUUAAAUAAAUGUCUGUAGAUGCAAAGUACUGUGUUUUAAGCUUUCUUGGUGUUUGUUUGGUGGGAAUCUAUUCCUAUCCCUACUGGAGAAGAUAGACUCUUAUGCUAAGUGUCUUUGUUGGUUUUUUUUGUUAUGUUUAAGUAAGUUCCACGUCUUUUGUUAACUUAGUCUGUUUUGUGUUUUGGUUUUCUAACUUGUAUGUUUGUAUGAUAAGAAAAUAAGGGAAAAACUGAGAAAAUAAGAAAUUGACAGAGAAAAAGAGAAUUGUCAAGAAGAAGAAAAGAGACAACAAGGGAAAGAAGAUGAGAAUUUUAUUUCAUCAUUAUCAGAAUGAAUAGACAACUUUAUGCAUUAGUUUUAUACUGCUCUCUCUCUCUCUACACACAUACAGUAGAGAGGGAAAAGAAGAAAAAAAUGGUGGCUGAAGCAAUAGCAGAGAAUGAUGGUGAUAUCUCUUUGAAAAGUAAUGGAGGAGGUUGUUAUUUAAAGAGAGUGAAAGAAAUGGGGGAAUGUAUAAUAUGCAAAGAGAAAGAUAAGCUUCUUUCAAUGGAGGCUCCUUCUGCUUGCAAUGGCACUCCAAAGGUUUUCAUUUUUCUGGGUAUUUCAACUUUGUUAGAAUUUGUAUGGGUUUAGAAUGAUUCCUUAUGCCA